UCGAGAAUCAUUCACAAUGGGCGAAAGCCUGAUGAUGCGACGCCGUGUGAGCGAUGAAGGCCUUCGGGUUGUAAAGCUCUUUCGCGAGGGAACAAGAGAUGAGUGUGAAUAACACUGAAAUUUGAGGGUACCUCGUAAAGAAGCACCGGCUAACUCCGUGCCAGCAGCUGCGGUAAUACGGAGGGUGCAAGCAUUAAUCGGAAUUAUUGGGCGUAAAGGGCGCGUAGGCGGAAUAGAAAGUCAGAUGUGAAAUCCCGGGGCUCACCUUCGGAACGGCAUUUGAAACUUCUAAUCUAGAGGAUAGGCGGAGAAAACAGAAUUCCACGUGUAGCGGUGAAAUGCGUAGAGAUGUGGAAGAAUACCUGUGGCGAAAGCGGUUUUCUAGCUUAUUCCUGACGCUGAGGCGCGAAAGCAAGGGGAGCAAACAGGAUUAGAUACCCGCGUAGUCC
rnacentral:rRNA from 1 species